GUGCUUACUUUGGCAGCACAAAUACUAAAAUUGGAAAAAUACAGAGAUUAGCAUGGCCCCUGAACAAGGAUGACACAGAUAUGUGUCAUUCAAUUUUUUUUU
ensembl:snRNA U6 U6 spliceosomal RNA